UCAGAUUAGGAAUGAUAAAAUGUGUACAGCUUAUAAGUCCCCAUGUAUUUCUUUUUUAAAUUAGAAAGAAGAGAAAAUAAACAAUUAGUUUAACAAUUCUUGUUUUAAGCGCUUGAUUUUGAACAAAAGACGCAUGGAUUUGAGCAAAGGUGGUUGGAAGACAAAACGAUCAGAAAUACCACAUUAUCUGUUGAAACUAACUGUUGUACCUGUCGAAAGCCGGAUGAGGAAGAGGCUGAUAAAGCGAUUGUUGAACACCCAGAUCCGCACCAAUUUGAGAUUCUUCUACGCAACAUCGUCUAUAUGAAAUUACCACAAUCCAAAGUGUUGAAAAAUGUCUUAAAAGAAUUGAAAGAACUAAAAGAGACAGGUUUAAUGAAAAAGAGAAAGCACCUGUUGCCAUUUUCAGUGACGGACUUGAUGAAUGUUGAGGUACCAACCCAAUCCAACCAGACGGAUGUAAAGAAGCAGGAGUUAUAUCCCAUGACUGAUAAUCGAAGUAAUUCAGUGUCAAUAGCACCGUUUCCCGAACUAAAUUAUUUCCAACCAAAAGUGCCCACAACGAAGAAAAAGAACACAUUGCCAUUUACACUCGCUGAUCUGAUGGCAAUCCCUGUUCCUUCAUCUUCAAAGAAUAAUAAAGAUAGGUAUAAACGUAGAGUCCCAAAGAUUGAAGAAAUUGGUAAUGGUAAAAGUGUGGGAAGAGUCGAGGAGGAUAAAGAUUUCACCGACUACCACGCUAUAGUGUAUGAUACAUACAUCAUCCUUCCAAAUCUGGGAAAUUUUGAGUCUUACAGUAUCAAGGUGUAUGCUUGUCAGGAACCCUUAGAAACAGGACAAUAUUUAUGUGGUGACGAAUCUGAAUCCGCUAUUGGCAGUGGCAGAACACUGCCAUCACCCACUGCAGACCUAAUUAAUUCGUCCUCCAUUGAAGUGAAUAUAAAUGAAACCGGUGAUGUCUUGAUUCUUUGGGAAGCCCCC